CCUACGGGAGGCAGCAGUGAGGAAUAUUGGUCAAUGGGCGUAAGCCUGAACCAGCCAAGUCGCGUGAGGGAUGAAGGUCCUAUGGAUCGUAAACCUCUUUUAUAAGGGAAUAAAGUGUGGGACGUGUCCUAUUUUGUAUGUACCUUAUGAAUAAGGAUCGGCUAACUCCGUGCCAGCAGCCGCGGUAAUACGGAGGAUCCGAGCGUUAUCCGGAUUUAUUGGGUUUAAAGGGUGCGUAGGCGGCCUGUUAAGUCAGCGGUGAAAGUCUGUGGCUCAACCAUAGAAUUGCCGUUGAUACUGGGAGGCUUGAGUAUGUUUGAGGCAGGCGGAAUGCGUGGUGUAGCGGUGAAAUGCUUAGAUAUCACGCAGAACCCCGAUUGCGAAGGCAGCUUGCCAAGCCGUGACUGACGCUGAUGCACGAAAGCGUGGGGAUCAAACAGGAUUAGAUACCCUAGUAGUC
rnacentral:rRNA from 1 species